rnacentral:rRNA from 1 species
GACGAACGCUGGCGGCGUGCUUAACACAUGCAAGUCGAACGGAAAGGCCCUGCUUGCAGGGUACUCGAGUGGCGAACGGGUGAGUAACACGUGGGUGAUCUGCCCUGCACUUCGGGAUAAGCCUGGGAAACUGGGUCUAAUACCGGAUAGGAGCCAUUUUUAGUGUGAUGGUUGGAAAGUUUUUUCGGUGUAGGAUGAGCUCGCGGCCUAUCAGCUUGUUGGUGGGGUAAUGGCCUACCAAGGCGGCGACGGGUAGCCGGCCUGAGAGGGUGGACGGCCACAUUGGGACUGAGAUACGGCCCAGACUCCUACGGGAGGCAGCAGUGGGGAAUAUUGCACAAUGGGCGCAAGCCUGAGGCAGCGACGCCGCGUGGGGGAUGACGGCCUUCGGGUUGUAAACUCCUUUCGCUAGGGACGAAGCUUUUGUGACGGUACCUAGAUAAGAAGCACCGGCUAACUACGUG